rnacentral:rRNA from 1 species
GUGCCAGCAGCCGCGGUAAUACGGAGGAUGCGAGCGUUAUCCGGAUUUAUUGGGUUUAAAGGGUGCGUAGGUGGCAAAACAAGUCAGCGGUCAAACUUCGGGGCUCAACCUCGUCUUGCCGUUGAAACUGUUUAGCUAGAGUUUGUUCGAGGAAUGCGGAAUGCGAGGUGUAGCGGUGAAAUGCAUAGAUAUCACGCAGAACUCCGAUUGCGAAGGCAGCGUUCCGGAACAACACUGACACUGAGGCACGAAAGUGUGGGUAUCGAACAGGAUUAGAUACCCUGGUAGUCCACACAGUAAACGAUGAAUACUAACCGUUUGCCCGAGAUAGGGUGGGUGGUAAAGCGAAAGCGUUAAGUAUUCCACCUGGGGAGUACGCCGGCAACGGUGAAACUCAAAGGAAUUGACGGGGGCCCGCACAAGCGGAGGAACAUGUGGUUUAAUUCGAUGAUACGCGAGGAACCUUACCCGGGCUCAAACGACAGGGGAAUUGACCAGAGACGGUCAAGCCAGCAAUGGUCGCUGUCGAGGUGCUGCAUGGUUGUCGUCAGCUCGUGCCGUGAGGUGUCGGCUUAAGUGCCAUAACGAGCGCAACCCCCAUCUUCAGUUACUAACGAGUUAAGUCGAGGACUCUGGAGAGACUGCCGGCGCAAGCUGUGAGGAAGGCGGGGAUGACGUCAAAUCAGCACGGCCCUUACGUCCGGGGCGACACACGUGUUACAAUGGCAGGCAACAAAGAGACGCUUUACAGCGAUGUAUGGCAAAUCUCGAAACCCUGUCUCAGUUCGGAUUGGAGUCUGCAACUCGACUCCAUGAAGCUGGAUUCGCUAGUAAUCGCGCAUCAGCCAUGGCGCGGUGAAUACGUUCCCGGGCCUUGUACACACCGCCCGU